rnacentral:lncRNA from 1 species
AAGGGGUUUAAGAUUUAGUUAACAAAAAUCAGGUGAUUAAGAAAUUUUUACAAGACUCGGGUGUUGAAAACUCUCUCUCUCUCUCUCUCUCUCUCUCUCUCUCUCUCUCUCUCUCUCUCUCUCUAUUUGUAUAGCGAAAAAGGGUACGGAACCAUUUCUCUGUCUAUUUCCAAAGCAGAAAGCGGAAUGGAACAAGAGAAGAAUGAAAUUUGACGAUGCCCUUGUCGAUUGGCACUCUCUCCAAACCAAUCAGUAUAAUGAUUGUCACCUACUAGUCGUCCCUCCAUCUCCACGCCGCUGUAGUCGCAAUCCCCAAUAUUUUUCUCCGACAACCCAUCACCAGACGCUUCCAACAGAUACCCCAUCUCAGUUGAGACUCAACAAAAUUUGAUGUCCAAUCCACCAAAACCUCCACCCACCUUCGACAAAGUUAUUAUUUCCUCUCCGACUCCAUCUUCAUUUGAAUCUGACGCCACACUCAUUAGUAUACUCUUUACUUGCAGUGCUCUUUCAAUUAUUGGCAUAGGAAGCUGUCAUAUGUUCAACGAUCUAUUCAAAUUUUAAUGAAAAAUUUUCCGAUUUCAAUAAAUUCUAAGCCUUCUUUGGCAAUAAAUUCUUGUUUCUUUUGUUUUUGUUUGAAUUUUAUUUUUUAUUAUGUUAUUAGUAGAUGCUGCUGUGAUGAAUUACUGUAUGUCUAGAUUUUUUGCCUGCAAUUAUUGUCGAAAGUAAUGAUGUGAAGUUGAGACCAAGCUGUUCGUGCAUCACCAGCUUGGUAUUUAGGUGAGUCAGAUGUUCAUGAUAUUUACCAUGGUAGUUAAUCCAGCUUGGUAUCAAAUGUAUUGAUAGAUUUAUUCUGAAGAAACAUGUCUAAUGAUACUAUGCUUUAAAUUUAUGUCAGGUACUGAUCUAGUGGUGGGGAGAAUGUGACUCCUUUUGGUGAUUGUAGUAUUGGAAGUGGUGAUAAUUUAGGUCAUCUUGGUGGUGAUAUUGUACAAAUGAUGAUCCAAAAUUAUACAAAUAUUAUUAAUAGUCAUGGUGCCAGAAGUUAAAACAAGGAUGGUGGUGUGAGUCCAGUGUUGAUUGUGGAAGAAAAGAUUAAUUCGACCGAAAAUGAGGGUAGAGUAGAUAAUUCUAGUCAAGUAAGAAGCAUUGAAUGUACUGGAUUUCCAAAUAUGGUCACCUACAAUGUACGACUAGCAUGUUUCUACCUUCAAAUGAAGAGCGAUUGUGACCAACUAUUGGACAAUUGUGAUCAAUAAAUUGAAAAAAAAAUAUAAUCAAUAAAUAAUAAGUGACUUAAAAAUAUGUGAUUUGUGAUUAUGUUUGUAAUUGUGACCUGUAAUUUGUAUCUUUCAUGAGCAAUAAAUAAA